rnacentral:rRNA from 1 species
UACGGAGGGGGCUAGCGUUGUUCGGAAUUACUGGGCGUAAAGCGCACGUAGGCGGCGUCGUAAGUCAGAGGUGAAAGCCCGGGGCUCAACCCCGGAUGUGCCUUUGAGACUGCGGUGCUAGAAGGUGAGAGAGGUGAGUGGAAUUCCGAGUGUAGAGGUGAAAUUCGUAGAUAUUCGGAAGAACACCAGUGGCGAAGGCGGCUCACUGGCUCAUACUUGACGCUGAGGUGCGAAAGCGUGGGGAGCAAACAGG